AGUGAACGCUGGCGGUAGGCCUAACACAUGCAAGUCGAACGGCAGCACAGUAAGAGCUUGCUCUUACGGGUGGCGAGUGGCGGACGGGUGAGGAAUACAUCGGAAUCUACUUUUUCGUGGGGGAUAACGUAAGGAAACUUACGCUAAUACCGCAUACGACCUACGGGUGAAAGCAGGGGAUCUUCUGACCUUGCGCGAUUGAAUGAGCCGAUGUCGGAUUAGCUAGUUGGCGGGGUAAAGGCCCACCAAGGCGACGAUCCGUAGCUGGUCUGAGAGGAUGAUCAGCCACACUGGAACUGAGACACGGUCCAGACUCCUACGGGAGGCAGCAGUGGGGAAUAUUGGACAAUGGGCGCAAGCCUGAUCCAGCCAUACCGCGUGGGUGAAGAAGGCCUUCGGGUUGUAAAGCCCUUUUGUUGGGAAAGAAAAGCAGCAGGUUAAUACCCCGCUGUUCUGACGGUACCCAAAGAAUAAGCACCGGCUAACUUCGUG
rnacentral:rRNA from 1 species